GAUGAAGAACGUAGCGAAAUGCGAUAAGUAAUGUGAAUUGCAGAAUUCAGUGAAUCAUCGAAUCUUUGAACGCACAUUGCGCCCGCUAGUAUUCUGGCGGGCAUGCCUGUCCGAGCGUCAUUUCAACCCUCAAGCCCCCGGGCUUGGUGUUGGGGAUCGGCGAGCCUCCGCGCCCGCCGUCCCCUAAAUCUAGUGGCGGUCUCGCUGUAGCUUCCUCUGCGUAGUAGCACACCUCGCACUGGGAAACAGCGCGGCCACGCCGUUAAACCCCCAACUUCUGAACGUUUGACCUCGGAUCAGGUAGGAAUACCCGCUGAACUUAAGCAUACCAAUAAGCGGAGGA
rnacentral:misc_RNA from 1 species